rnacentral:rRNA from 1 species
CAAUAAGCGGAGGAAAAGAAACCAACAGGGAUUGCCCUAGUAACGGCGAGCGAAGCGGCAACAGCUCAAAUUUGAAAUCUGGCUACUUUGUAGUCCGAGUUGUAAUUUGUAGAGGAUGCUUUUGGUGAGGUGCCUUCCGAGUUCCCUGGAACGGGACGCCAGAGAGGGUGAGAGCCCCGUACGGUUGGAUACCAAACCUUUGUAUAGCUCCUUCGACGAGUCGAGUAGUUUGGGAAUGCUGCUCUAAAUGGGAGGUAUAUCUCUUCUAAAGCUAAAUAUAGGCUAGAGACCGAUAGCGCACAAGUAGAGUGAUCGAAAGAUGAAAAGCACUUUGAAAAGAGAGUUAAACAGCACGUGAAAUUGUUGAAAGGGAAGCGCCUAUGACCAGACUUGUUUCUUUCAGUUUUGUUAGUUCUCGGACUGAUUUACUCUGUUAGUACAGGCCAGCAUCAGUUUGUUGUCGGGGAGAAAGGCUUAGGGAAUGUGGCUCUUUCGGGAGUGUUAUAGCCCUUUGCAUAAUACCCUUCGGCAGACUGAGGACCGCGCUUCGGCAAGGAUGCUGGCGUAAUGG